UGAGCCAUAGAUGUCCGAAUGGGGGAACCCGGCUGCAGCGAUGCGGUCAUUUGCAUUUGAAUACAUAGGAUGCAAAGGCGAACUCGGGGAACUGAAACAUCUAAGUACCCGAAGGAAAAGAAAUCAAGAGAGAUUCUCCAAGUAGCGGCGAGCGAACGGGGAGGAGCCUGGCGUGAUUUAUUAUUGAACUGAGUAGAACAAUUUGGGAAAGUUGGCGAUAGAGGGUGAAAGCCCCGUAUACGAAGGUUUGAUGAGGAACUAGGCACGCGAACAAGUAGGCCGGGACACGUGAAAUCCUGGUUGAAGAUGGGUGGACCAUCAUCCAAGGCUAAAUACUACUUACUGACCGAUAGUGAACCAGUACCGUGAGGGAAAGGUGAAAAGAACCCCGGAGAGGGGAGUGAAAUAGAAUCUGAAACCGUUUGCGUACAAGCAGUGGGAGCAUGGUUUAGGCUGUGUGACUGCGUACCUUUUGUAUAAUGGGUCAGCGAGUUACUUUCAGUGGCGAGGUUAACUGAAUAAGGGAGCCGUAGAGAAAUCGAGUCUGAAUAGGGCGAUAGUCGCUGGGAGUAGACCCGAAACCGGGCGAUCUAGCCAUGUGCAGGAUGAAGGUUGGGUAACACCAACUGGAGGUCCGAACCGGGUAAUGUUGAAAAAUUAUCGGAUGACGUGUGGCUAGGAGUGAAAGGCUAAUCAAGCCCGGAGAUAGCUGGUUCUCCCCGAAAGCUAUUUAGGUAGCGCCUCGUGAAUGAUUACUGGGGGUAGAGCACUGUUUCGGCUAGGGGGCUGUCAUGGCUUACCAAACCGAUGCAAACUCCGAAUACCGGCUAAUUGAAUCACGGGAGACACACGGCGGGUGCUAACGUCCGUCGUGGAGAGGGAAACAACCCAGACCGCCAGCUAAGGUCCCCAAGUACUAGUUAAGUGGGAAACGAUGUGGGAAGGCAUAGACAGCCAGGAGGUUGGCUUAGAAGCAGCCACCCUUUAAAGAAAGCGUAAUAGCUCACUGGUCGAGUCGGCCUGCGCGGAAGAUGUAACGGGGCUAAAACUAGUCACCGAAGCUGCGGAUGUGCGCGAAGGCGCACGUGGUAGGGGAGCGUUCUGUAGGCUGAUGAAGGUGCAUUGAGAAGUGUGCUGGAGGUAUCAGAAGUGCGAAUGCUGACAUGAGUAACGAUAAUGUGGGUGAAAAGCCCACACGCCGGAAGUCCCAGGUUUCCUGCACGACGUUAAUCGGAGCAGGGUGAGUCGGCCCCUAAGGCGAGGCUGAAGAGCGUAGUCGAUGGGAACCAGGUUAAUAUUCCUGGACUUUUUAUAAGUGGUGAAGUGGGGACGAAGAAGGCUAGGUGAGCCAGGCGUUGGUUGUCCUGGUACUUGCAUGUAGGGGGGAAGACUUGGCAAAUCCGGUUUUCCAUAACUCUGAGGUGCGAAGUGGUUCUGACCUUUUGGUACAGAGAAGUCAUUGAUGCCCGGCUUCCAGGAAAAGCUGCUAGCCAUAACUUAUAGAGAACCGUACCGCAAACCGACACAGGUGGACAGGUAGAGAAUACUAAGGCGCUUGAGAGAACUCGGGUGAAGGAACUAGGCAAAAUGGUACCGUAACUUCGGGAGAAGGUACGCCCUUUCUGGUGAUGGGAUUUACUUUCAGAGCUGGAGAGGGCCGCAGAGACCAGGUGGCUGCGACUGUUUAUUAAAAACACAGCACUCUGCAAAUUCGUAAGAAGACGUAUAGGGUGUGACGCCUGCCCGGUGCCGGAAGGUUAAUUGAUGGGGUUAUCUUCGGAGAAGCUCUUGAUCGAAGCCCCGGUAAACGGCGGCCGUAACUAUAACGGUCCUAAGGUAGCGAAAUUCCUUGUCGGGUAAGUUCCGACCUGCACGAAUGGCGUAACGAUGGCCACACUGUCUCCACCCGAGACUCAGUGAAAUUGAAAUCGCUGUGAAGAUGCAGUGUACCCGCGGCUAGACGGAAAGACCCCGUGAACCUUUACUAUAGUUUUGCACUGGACUUUGAUGAUGACUGUGUAGGAUAGGUGGGAGGCUGUGAAGUGAGGACGCUAGUUCUCAUGGAGCCGCCCUUGAAAUACCACCCUGUUGUUAUUGAGGUUCUAACUUGGUCCAGUAAUCCUGGAUGAGGACAGUGUAUGAUGGGUAGUUUGACUGGGGCGGUCUCCUCCCAAAGAGUAACGGAGGAGCACAAAGGUACCCUCGGUACGGUCGGACAUCGUACCAAG
rnacentral:rRNA from 1 species